UGUGGCUCAGUGAUAGAGUUCUUACUUUAUAUGCAUGAAGCCCUGGGUUUAAUCCCCAGCA
rnacentral:tRNA from 1 species